AGAUUAGCAAACUCGUUCGAUUC
rnacentral:snRNA from 1 species